GAAAGAAGCAAUAAAAUAUAGCAACAGCACGGGCGCAAUGGAACCCAAUCCACUGUUCCGAAGCGAAAAACACCGAAGAUCUUUAUAGCAUGUGGCAUAAACACAAUUGUGUACUUAUUGCCCUGCUGGAAGAUCGGUGCCCUUCGCUGCUGUUGGUAACACUAUAAAGAUCUUCGAUGCCUUUUAUUCACCAUAGUGAUGUUAAUGAAUGGCGCCAUAGGAUCCGAUGAUGCGACCGGAAUUCAGUCUAGAUCCCCACCGCGAGAUGCACGGAGAUCUGUCGAAUUGUUGCACACCAGGUCCGACAUAAGCCGCUAAAGGAGGAACAUCAAUCUAAUCAAAUAUAGGCGCUAGGAUAUACGAUUCGUUGCCGCGGACAGAAGUUCCCAUUCGUGAGAGCGGUUGCUGCUGAAAGAAAGAACAAAACACUAUCACUGGACAGAUGUUUCCACCAUAUACUGGACAAAGCGAAGCAGUUUCAAUCAGACCGUUUUACAACGCGAAUUUGCACCGUAGGGUCUUGAGUGGACCAGCACCAAAGCACGUCCCACAAGUUGAAGUGGCAAACGCAUCAUCCAACGUAGUUUAGUUAGUUCGUUUAACUUAGCAAUCAACCUAAAAUUCUCACUAAGAACAUCUGUGUGCGAUGUUCAAAUAAGUAAAACUUUCAACAUUUGCCUGUUCUGAAAGUGUUACGGGGGGGAAUGUUACGUGAGAAUGUGAUUGUGAACCCCUGAACAUGUGUCCAGCUGUCGGACUAUCGUUAUUGUAUGUGUCUGUUAUUCUUUGGUGUUUUUCUGCUUCACUGUGACGUGCUUGUUGAUGUCGAAAGAAGCAAUAAAAUAUAGCAACAGCACGGGCGCAAUGGAACCCAAUCCACUGUUCCGAAGCGAAAAACACCGAAGAUCUUUAUAGCAUGUGGCAUAAACACAAUUGUGUACUUAUUGCCCUGCUGGAAGAUCGGUGCCCUUCGCUGCUGUUGGUAACA